rnacentral:rRNA from 1 species
AUUGAACGCUCGCGGGAUGCUUUACACAUGCAAGUCGAACGGCAGCGCGGACUUCGGUCUGGCGGCGAGUGGCGAACGGGUGAGUAAUGUAUCGGAACGUGCCCAGUAGCGGGGGAUAACUACGCGAAAGCGUAGCUAAUACCGCAUACGCCCUACGGGGGAAAGCAGGGGAUCGUAAGACCUUGCACUAUUGGAGCGGCCGAUAUCGGAUUAGCUAGUUGGUGAGGUAACGGCUCACCAAGGCGACGAUCCGUAGCUGGUUUGAGAGGACGACCAGCCACACUGGGACUGAGACACGGCCCAGACUCCUACGGGAGGCAGCAGUGGGGAAUUUUGGACAAUGGGGGCAACCCUGAUCCAGCCAUCCCGCGUGUGCGAUGAAGGCCUUCGGGUUGUAAAGCACUUUUGGCAGGAAAGAAACGUCGCGGGCUAAUACCCCGUGGAACUGACGGUACCUGCAGAAUAAACACCGGCUAACUACGU